rnacentral:rRNA from 1 species
GAAGUAAAAGUCGUAACAAGGUCUCCGUUGGUGAACCAGCGGAGGGAUCAUUACCGAGUUUACAACUCCCAAACCCCUGUGAACAUACCUAUACGUUGCCUCGGCGGAUCAGCCCGCGCCCCGUAAAACGGGACGGCCCGCCCGAGGACCCCUAAACUCUGUUUUUAGUGGAACUUCUGAGUAAAACAAACAAAUAAAUCAAAACUUUCAACAACGGAUCUCUUGGUUCUGGCAUCGAUGAAGAACGCAGCAAAAUGCGAUAAGUAAUGUGAAUUGCAGAAUUCAGUGAAUCAUCGAAUCUUUGAACGCACAUUGCGCCCGCCAGUAUUCUGGCGGGCAUGCCUGUUCGAGCGUCAUUUCAACCCUCAAGCUCAGCUUGGUGUUGGGACUCGCGGUAACCCGCGUUCCCCAAAUCGAUUGGCGGUCACGUCGAGCUUCCAUAGCGUAGUAAUCAUACACCUCGUUACUGGUAAUCGUCGCGGCCACGCCGUAAAACCCCAACUUCUGAAUGUUGACCUCGGAUCAGGUAGGAAUACCCGCUGAACUUAAGC